GGUCAAGUUAUUAAGGGUGCAGGGCGGAUGCCUUGGCACUAGGAGCCGAUGAAGGACGUGAUAAGCUGCGAUAAGCUUCGGGGAGUUGCACGUAAACUUUGAUCCGAAGAUUUCCGAAUGAGGAAACUCACUUAGAGUAAUGUCUAAGUAUCAUUAAGUGAAUACAUAGCUUAAUGAGGGGAACUCAGGGAACUGAAACAUCUAAGUACCUGAAGGAAGAGAAAGAAAUUCGAUUCCGUAAGUAGCGGCGAGCGAACGCGGAUUAGCCCAAACCAAUAAAGUUUUCUUUAUUGGGGUUGCGGACAUAUCAUAACGAAGAGGUAUCGU
rnacentral:rRNA from 1 species